UGGGGAAUUUUGGACAAUGGGCGCAAGCCUGAUCCAGCCAUGCCGCGUGGGUGAAGAAGGCCUUCGGGUUGUAAAGCCCUUUCGGCCGGGAAGAAAACGUGCGGGCGAACAGUCUGCAUGGAUGACGGUACCGGAAGAAGAAGCACCGGCUAACUACGUGCCAGCAGCCGCGGUAAUACGUCGGGUGCGAGCGUUAAUCGGAAUUAUUGGGCGUAAAGCGUGCGCAGGCGGCGCCAUAAGACAGCUGUGAAAUCCCCGGGCUUAACCUGGGAACUGCGGUUGGGACUGUGGUGCUAGAGUACGGCAGAGGGAGGUGGAAUUCCUGGUGUAGCAGUGAAAUGCGUAGAGAUCAGGAGGAACACCGAUGGCGAAGGCAGCCUCCUGGGCUGAUACUGACGCUCAUGCACGAAAGCGUGGGGAGCAAACA
rnacentral:rRNA from 1 species